GAUGAACGCUGACAGAAUGCUUAACACAUGCAAGUCUUUGGCGAAGCUGUGCUCGCACAGCCUAGCCAAGGCGGACGGGUGAGUAACGCGUAAGGAACUUGCCCUGCAGUCAGGGAUAACAGACGGAAACGACUGAUAAGACCUGGUAAAGUCAGGCGGACCCAUGUCCAGCCUGAUGAAAAGAGAUGCUGCAGGAGAGCCUUGCGUCCUAUUAGCUUGUUGGUGGGGUAACGGCCCACCAAGGCGAUGAUAGGUAGCCGGCCUGAGAGGGUGGACGGCCACAAGGGGACUGAGAUACGGCCCUUACUCCUACGGGAGGCAGCAGUGGGGAAUAUUGGACAAUGGGGGCAACCCUGAUCCAGCAAUUCUGUGUGCACGAUGAAGGUUUUCGGAUUGUAAAGUGCUUUCAGCAGGGAAGAAAAAAAUGACGGUACCUGCAGAAGAAGCGACGGCUAAAUACGUG
rnacentral:rRNA from 1 species